UACGAAGGGGGCUAGCGUUGUCCGGAAUCACUGGGCGUAAAGCGCACGUAGGCGGCUUGCUAAGUCAGGGGUGAAAUCCUGGAGCUCAACUCCAGAACUGCCUUUGAUACUGAAGAUCUUGAGUUCGGGAGAGGUGAGUGGAACUGCGAGUGUAGAGGUGAAAUUCGUAGAUAUUCGCAAGAACACCAGUGGCGAAAGCGGCCGGCUGGGCCUGUACUGACGCUGAGGCGCGAAAGCGUGGGGAGCGAACCGG
rnacentral:rRNA from 1 species